rnacentral:pre_miRNA from 14 species
UUAUAAAAUAUUUCUCAAAGGUCCCAGCAUUUUUGAAACAUAUUAGAAACUGAAAGACCCCAAGAGCGGGGAGACCCUCACUCAAGUCUCGGGAUGAUGCGACCCCCCAAGAACUCACGUGAGACC